CUCAAAGCAAUCCUCCCUGCUCAGCCUCCCAAAGUACUGGGAUUCCAGGUGUGAGUCACCACGCCCAGCCGUGUUGCUCUCAAGAUUGUCAUCUGAAUGGAAUCACACAGUAGGCUUGAUGAUUUUCUAAUUGAAAAGCUGGAAUGUGGGAGGAUAACAAUAUGGAAGCUACUCAGAGUACAUGUUCAACAAAUGUGAAUCCUUGUGGUUUUGGGAAUAUGUGGAAAGUGCAUAACUUUAGGCUCAAAAGACCUGCGUUCAAAUCCUGGGUCUACUACUCACAUAGGUGCCUUCAUUCCCUGAGCCUCAGUUCUUUGCCUGAAAAUAGAAGCAGGCAAACCCAGAGGGGUUGUUGCAGUCCUUAAAGCAACAUAUGUGAAAUUGGCUCAAAAGACCCAAAUUCCAGUCCCAGCUCUUAUCACCUGCUGUCACCUCAGACAAACCAUCUGACCUCUCGAAUCUGGUUCUUCAUCUUCAAAAUGAUAUGCCUUGGAGAAUGGUUAUGAGGAUUCGAUGUAAUAAAGUGCAUGAAGUGGCUGCAUGAGAAAUGUACGUGGAUGCAUCCGUGUGUGACCGCAUCGUGCCUGGCAGCCUUUACAGAAUUUCAGCUGUGCCAUGGGAGCUCAGCUCCUGACAAGGGUCGCUGCCACUUCUGACCUGUGAGUUGACCCUGACCAUCACCCCCUUCACAGCCUCUUUGAUUCCAUUCUCAGCACAACAGCCACAACACCUGUUAUGGUUUAAGAUCAUGCCAUUCUGUAAAGCCCUCUGGUGGCUUCCCAUCUGUGUUUCUCAAGGCUGCCAUGACGAGGUGCCACAAACUGAGAAGCUUAAAAAAAUAGAACUUUAUCCUCUCACGGUUUCAGAGACUCAAGAUAUCAGAAGGACCAUGCUCCCUCCAAAGGCUCCCGGGGAGAAUCUACCCUGCCCUUCCAUCCACUGUGCUCCUUGGCCUGUAGCUGCAUCAUUCAAUCUCUGUCUCUGUCUCUGUCUCUGUCAAUGAAUGUCAUCAUUCAUUUUCCCUGUGUGUACCUUUUGUGUCCCCCUUCUUCUUUUUUCUUUUGAGACAGAGUCUCGCUCUA